CACGUAGGGCGCAAGCGUUGUCCGGAAUUAUUGGGCGUAAAGGGCGCGUAGGCGGUCACGCACGUCCGUUGUGAAAUCGCUCGGCUCAACUGGGCGGGGUCAGCGGAUACGGCGUGGCUGGAGCAAGCUAGGGGGCAAUGGAAUUCCCGGUGUAGUGGUGGAAUGCGUAGAUAUCGUUUGGAACGCCAAUGGUGAAAACAGGUUGCUGGGAGUGCGCUGACGCUGAGACACGAAAGCCAGGGGAGCGAACGGGG
rnacentral:rRNA from 1 species